rnacentral:rRNA from 1 species
UACGUAGGGGGCUAGCGUUGUCCGGAUUUAUUGGGCGUAAAGAGCGUGUAGGCGGCCAGGUAGGUCUGCUGUGAAAACUCGAGGCUCAACCUCGAGACGUCGGCGGAAACCAUCUGGCUAGAGUCCGGAAGAGGAGAGUGGAAUUCCUGGUGUAGCGGUGAAAUGCGCAGAUAUCAGGAAGAACACCGGUGGCGAAGGCGGUCUGCUGGGCAGUUGCUGACACUGAGGCGCGACAGCGUGGGGAGCAAACAGG